GGAGGAUCCAAGCGUUAUCCGGAAUCAUUGGGUUUAAAGGGUCCGUAGGCGGUUUUUAAGUCAGAGGUGAAAUCUUGCAGCUCAACUGUAAAAUUGCCUUUGAUACUGGUUAUCUUGAGUUAUUAUGAAGUAGUUAGAAUAUGUAGUGUAGCGGUGAAAUGCAUAGAUAUUACAUAGAAUACCAAUUGCGAAGGCAGAUUACUAAUAAUCAACUGACGCUGAGGCACGAAAGCGUGGGUAGCAAACAGGAUUAGAUACCCUGGUAGUCCACGCUGUAAACGAUGAUUACUAGGUGUGGGGGGUCUGACCCCUUCCGUGCCGGAGUUAACACAAUAAGUAAUCCACCUGGGGAGUACGGCCGCAAGGUUGAAACUCAAAGGAAUUGACGGGGGCCCGCACAAGCAGUGGAGUAUGUGGUUUAAUUCGAAGCAACGCGAAGAACCUUACCAGGUCUUGACAUCCAACUAACGAAGUAGAGAUACAUUAGGUGCCCUUCGGGGAAAGUUGAGACAGGUGGUGCAUGGUU
rnacentral:rRNA from 1 species